rnacentral:rRNA from 1 species
UACGGAAGGGGCGAGCGUUGUUCGGAAUCAUUGGGCGUAAAGGGCGCGUAGGUGGUUCUGUAUGUCUACCGUGAAAGCGUACGGCUCAACCGUAUUUUGUCGGUAGAAACUGCAGGACUUGAGGCUGGGAGGGGCUGGUGGAAUUCCCUGUGUAGCGGUGAAAUGCGUAGAGAUGGGGGAGAACACUCGUGGCGAAGGCGGCCAGCUAGACCAGUUCUGACACUGAGGCACGAAGGCCAGGGGAGCAAACGGG